UACGAAGGGGGCUAGCGUUGCUCGGAAUUACUGGGCGUAAAGGGAGCGUAGGCGGGUCGUUAAGUUGGGGGUGAAAGCCCGAGGCUCAACCUCGGAAUUGCCUUCAAAACUGGCGACCUUGAGUAUGGGAGAGGUGUGUGGAACUCCGAGUGUAGAGGUGAAAUUCGUAGAUAUUCGGAAGAACACCAGUGGCGAAGGCGACACACUGGCCCAUUACUGACGCUGAGGCUCGAAAGCGUGGGGAGCAAACAGG
rnacentral:misc_RNA from 1 species